AUGGACAUGGGGAGGGGGGAGGCGUGUGUCGGGGAGUGGGAGGCGUGUGUCGGAGAGGCGUGUGUCGGAGAGGCGUGUGUCGGAGAGGCGUGUGUCGGAGAGGCGUGUGUCGAGAGGCGUGUGUCGGAGAGGGAUGAGAGCGUGUGUCGGAGAGGGAAGGGGAGAGGCGUGUGUCGGAGAGGGAAGGGGAGAGGCGUGUGUCGGAGAGGGAAGGGGAGAGGCGUGGGCGGACGGGAAGGGGAGAGGCGUGUGUCGAGAGGGAGGGAGAGCGUGUGUCGGAGAGGGAAGGGGAGAGGCGUGUGUCGGAGAGGGAGGGGAGAGGCGUGUGUCGGAGAGGGAGGGGAGAGGCGUGUGUCGGAGAGGGAAGGGGAGAGGCGUGUGUCGGAGAGGGAAGGGGAGAGGCGUGUGUCGGAGAGGGAAGGGAGAGGCGUGUGUCGGAGAGGGAAGGGGAGAGCGUGUGUCGGAGAGGGAAGGGGAGAGGCGUGUGUCGGAGAGGGAAGGGGAGAGGCGUGUGUCGGAGAGGGAAGGGGAGAGGCGUGUGUCGGAGAGGGAAGGGGAGAGGGUGUGUCGGAGAGGGAAGGGGGAGAGGCGUGUGUCGGAGAGGGAAGGGGAGAGGCGUGUGUCGGAGAGGGAAGGGGAGAGGCGUGUGUCGGAGAGGGAAGGGGAGAGGCGUGUGUCGGAGAGGGAAGGGGAGAGGCGUGUGUCGGAGAGAGGAAGGGGAGAGGCGUGUGUCGGAGAGGGAAGGGGAGAGGCGUGUGUCGGAGAGGGAAGGGGAGAGGCGUGUGUCGGAGAGGGAAGGGAGAGGCGUGUGUCGGAGAGGGAAGGGGAGAGGCGUGUGUCGGAGAGGAAGGGAGGCGUGUGGUCGGCGAGGGAAUGGGAGAGGCGUGUGUCGGAGAGGGAAGGGGAGAGGCGUGUGUCGGAGAGGGAAGGGGAGAGGCGUGUGUCGGAGAGGGAAGGGAGAGGCGUGUGUUGGAGAGGUGUGUGUCGGGGAGAGGCGUGUGUUGGAGAGGUGUGUGUCGGGGAGAGGCGUGUGUCGGAGAGGGAAGGGGAGAGGCGUGUGUUGGAGAGGUGUGUGUCGGGGAGGCAUGUGUCGGAGUGGGGGGGAGUGGCGUGUGUCGGAGAGGCGUGUGUUGGAGUGUGUCGGAGUGGGGGGGGGGGGUGGCGUGUGUCGGAGAGGGAAGGGGAGAGGCGUGUGUCGGAGAGGCGUGUGUCGGAGUGUGUCGGGGAGAGGCGUGUGUCGGAUUGGGGGGGGGGGGGGGGGGAGUGGCGUGUGUCGGAGUGGCGUGUGUCGGAGAGGGACGGGGAGAGGCGUGUGUCGGAGUGGCGUGUGUAGGAGUGGGGGGGGAGGGGGGGAAUAGCGUGUGUCGGAGAGGGAAGAGGCGUGUGUCGGAUUGGGGGGGGGGGGGGGAGAGGCGUGUGUCGGAGUGGGUGGGUGGGGGGGGGAAGGCGUGUGUCGGAGUGGCGUGUGUCAGAGUGUCAUGA
rnacentral:lncRNA from 1 species